rnacentral:rRNA from 1 species
CCUACGGGCGGUUGCAGUGAGGAAUAUUGGUCAAUGGACGAGAGUCUGAACCAGCCAAGUAGCGUGAAGGAUGACUGCCCUAUGGGUUGUAAACUUCUUUUAUAUGGGAAUAAAAUGUUCCACGUGUGGGAUUUUGUAUGUACCAUAUGAAUAAGGAUCGGCUAACUCCGUGCCAGCAGCCGCGGUAAUACGGAGGAUCCGAGCGUUAUCCGGAUUUAUUGGGUUUAAAGGGAGCGUAGGUGGAUUGUUAAGUCAGUUGUGAAAGUUUGCGGCUCAACCGUAAAAUUGCAGUUGAAACUGGCAGUCUUGAGUACAGUAGAGGUGGGCAGAAUUCGUGGUGUAGCGGUGAAAUGCUUAGAUAUCACGAAGAACUCCGAUUGCGAAGGCAGUUCACUGGACUGCAACUGACACUGAGGCUCGAAAGUGUGGGUAUCAAACAGGAUUAGAUACCCUAGUAGUC